rnacentral:rRNA from 1 species
CAGCCGCCACGGUAAUACGUAGGUGGCAAGCGUUGUCCGGAAUUAUUGGGCGUAAAGGGCUCGCAGGCGGUUUCUUAAGUCUGAUGUGAAAGCCCCCGGCUCAACCGGGGAGGGUCAUUGGAAACUGGGAAACUUGAGUGCAGAAGAGGAGAGUGGAAUUCCACGUGUAGCGGUGAAAUGCGUAGAGAUGUGGAGGAACACCAGUGGCGAAGGCGACUCUCUGGUCUGUAACUGACGCUGAGGAGCGAAAGCGUGGGCAGCGAACAGGAUUAGAUACCCGAGUAGUCCCUGUCUCUUAUAC